GCAGAAUGGCUGUCUUAUAACCUUAAGGGUUGAUUUAUAAUAGCCGUAACCGUUGAUUUAAGCCGUAAUCUUUAAUAGCGAAUUCGGACGCUUGCACUAGUGCACACUGAGUGCGCACUAAGGCUUGUUCUUAAUCAAUUGUUAUAUUUACAGAUCAUCUUAAAUACUUCUUAAGGCGCGGGUCCAAUGAAGAUCCGUAAACCUAACCCUAACCGUAAGACCGUAACCGUAAGAAAUCGCCUCCUAUCGUCUACAAUGACAGCCCAUAAUCGUAACGAAACGUAACAUAAAGAACCGUAAAUCCAUAACGCAAAUUCGUGUUUGCGUCGAUUCUAACCUCUGUGUUAACUGUUACAAAGUGCAAAAAUUUCGCUAUAAUGGAUAAUUUACCAUGUUAGAAAAACAGUUCUUGUGGCUAUUAACUUAAUUGCGAUAAUUCUGCAGUUAUUGCGGAAAAAGAAGAAAAAGAUUAAACGAAAAUAUUGGGUUCGGCCAAUGUUAUUACAGCGGAAGCAAAAAAGCCAUUUUCAUACUCUCUUUCAGUUUAUGAAAAACAAUGACGAUGAACAGUUUUUCUUCACAAUUCGAAAGACUAUCAGAAUUAGUGCAAGAGUCUCUGAUAAAAAGAAGUAUUUGAGAGCCUCUGUCGCCGGAACAUUGAUUAUGUAUUACUUUGUAUUAUCUUGCUCAUGGUUGCAGUAUGCAAAUAACUGUUGCAUGGAACUUUUAUGUGUCAAAAUCAACUGUGAGCAAAGUUAUCCGUGACACUUGCAAGAUUAUAUGGGACAAGUUAUCGCCUAUAUGUUUGCCAAGACCUACUGCUGACGAUUUCAGAAGGUACUCACGAGAUUUCCAAGAGUUGCGGAAUAUGCCGAAUUGUUUCGGGGCAAUUGAUGGAAAGCACAUCGUUGUACAAGCUCCUUACAAUACUGGGAUCAGUUUCUUCAA